GCCUCAGUGGUGUAGAGGUUAUCAUACCCGCUCAACAUAAUAUGUGAUAAACCCAAGUCCAUUUACGAGUAGGUGAGAUGGGUUCCAAUCCCUUCUGAGGCG